rnacentral:rRNA from 1 species
CAGGCCUAACACAUGCAAGUCGAACGGUAACAGAGGAAAGCUUGCUUUCUUGCUGACGAGUGGCGGACGGGUGAGUAAUGCUUGGGAACUUGCCUUUGCGAGGGGGAUAACAGUUGGAAACGACUGCUAAUACCGCAUAAUGUCUUCGGACCAAACGGGGCUUCGGCUCCGGCGCAAAGAGAGGCCCAAGUGAGAUUAGCUAGUUGGUAAGGUAACGGCUUACCAAGGCGACGAUCUCUAGCUGUUCUGAGAGG